rnacentral:rRNA from 1 species
AGGUCCUCCACUAGCUUGGACGAGUUUGAUCCUGGCUAGGCUAGAUUGCUCCUUAGACUAGUGGCGAACGGGUGAUAAACACGUGGGUGAUCUGCCUCGUACUUCGGGAUAAGCCUGGGAAACUGGGUCUAAUACCGGAUAGGACUGCAUCGUAAGGGUGUGGUGGAAAGUUUUUUCGGUACGAGAUGAGCCUGCGGCCUAUCAGCUUGUUGGUGGGGUAAUGGCCUACCAAGGCGUCGACGGGUAUCCGGCCUGAGAGGGUGUACGGACACAUUGGGACUGAGRUWCGCGCCCCCAGCACUUCAUACGGGAGGACCAGCGUUGGGGUAUGUGGCACAAUGGGCGUAAGCCUGAUGCACGCGACGCCGCGUGGGGAGAUGACGGCCUUCGAGUUGUGAACUCCUUUCGUCAGGGACGAAGGCCUUCGGGGUGACAGUAGCUGGAUAAGAAGCACCGGCUGACUACGUGCCAGCAGACGCGGUAAUACGUAAGGGUCGCGAGCGUCGUCCUGGAAUUACUGGGCGUAAAGAGCUCGUAGGUGGUUUGUCGCGUCGUCUGUGAAAUUGCCGGGGCUCAACUCCGGAUGGGCAGGCGAUACGGGCAUAACUUGAGUGCUGUAAGGGAGACUGGAAUUCCUCGUGUAGCGAUGAAAUGCGCAGAUAUCAGGAGGAACACCGAUGGCGAAGGCAGGUCUCUGGGCAGUUACUGACGCUGAGGAGCGAAACCAUGGGUAGCGAACAGGAUUAUAUACCCUGGUAGUCGAUGCCGUUAAACGGUGGGCGCUAAGUGUAGGGGGCUUUCUACGUCGUUCUGUGCCGUAGCUAACUCAUUAAGCGCCCCGCCUGGGGAGUACCGCCGCCAGGGCUAACAACUCAAAGGAAUUGACAGGGGGCCCGCACGAGCGGCAGGAGCAUGUGGAUUAAUGCAAUGCUACGCGAAGAAACCUUAACUGGGCUCGACAUACGACCGGACCGGGACAGAGAUGGUCUUUCCCUUUGUCGUCGUGGUACAGGUGCUGCAUGGUUGUCGUCAGCUUGUGUCGUGAGUAUGAUGGGUUAAGUCCAGCCACGAACCCAACCCUACUCUUAUGUUUGCCUUCACCUGAUGGUAGGGACUCAUGCGACACAGACGGGGGGGACUACGGAGGAAGGUGGGGGAUAACGUCUAAUCACUCAUGGCCCUUAAGUCCAAGGCUUCACAAAUGUCUACAAUGAUCGGUCCAACAGGCUGCGAUGCAGUGAUGUUCAGCUAAUCCUUAAAGCCGGCCUUAGUUCGGAUUGGGGUCUGCAACUCGACCCCAUGAAGUCGGAGUCGCUAGUAAUCGUAGAUCAGCAACGCUGCGGUGAAUACGUUCCCGGGCCUUGUACACACCGCCCGUCACGUCAUGAAAGUUGGUAACACCCGAAGCCCAUGGCCCAACCACUUUACUGGGGGCAGAGUUGAUCCUGGCUCAGGCUGGAUCACCUCCUAAGCUGAUCCAAAUACUA